rnacentral:misc_RNA from 1 species
GCAUUCUGGGGGCUGUCUUGGCUUUUGGUUGCUUGCUUGGCUUUUUGUCGGGCGGGUGGCUACUAGUUGGGCGGUUUUCGGGAAUGUCGACCGUAAAGGUGCAUGAGUGGUGUUUGGUUUGUUACGGGUGGUUGGCUGUCUGCUCGCGCAGCAACGUCCAYGCGUGCAUACCUCUUCAGUUUUGCGGCAAGGCUUAGAUGUCUUGAGCAUAUUGUGGGUUUCCUGUGUUGCAUACCUAGUCAAUGGUAACGUGUGGGUUUUAUGAAGUCCCUAUUCGUCAUGCGUCGCUUAUGCGUCGUGGGAUGAACAUUGAAGCGGUCUUUGURCUCCAUCUUGUUGUUGUAUUUGCAACAAUAAUGUGGCUUAUGAAGCAUUGCUUGGUUUCUUGUAUACGGAACCUAAUGUGGGCAUGGGUCUUAUAAGAUCCUGAAUUUGCCCUUGUUAAGCGUUCUCGYUUCUCCAAAACGAUUGUCUACCAUGUCUCGGCUUGUCUGUGCAUGGUGGGCUAUGUCGA